UAUAUAUAUAUAUAUAUAUAUAUAUAUAAGUCUAGUUUUGGUUUCUACUUGCUUCCCCACACAGACUCUAGAACUCAGUUAUUCAUAAAUUCUAGUAGUCUAUUCUACAGACUCCUCUCUGCUUAAGAUUCUGUUUUCAUAAAAGAUAUGAUUUUAUUUCUUUAAACAGAAUCAGCGUCUGUAGAAAUACUUUUUUCAUGGUUAAAAUAUUCUUAAAAGUACCUCAGGAACUAAAGCUGAUCUGUAACUUACCCAGUAGUCACUGAUGCACAUCCACAUCCUUCAUGAUCAUUGAUUAACUUAAAAAAUGAAUCUGAAGGAUGCAUUUUUAAAAAAAAAUAUUGUUUUAAAGCAAAACAUGUUGUUAAUAUUUAUUGUUUUCAUGUAGUUCGUAUCUAUAAUCUUGAAAUACAUUUUUUUUAAAGAAUGAACGCAACAUACACUGACCUCCCUGCUGAAGGGGAAAAAAAAUCCACACACAAUAGAAACCCUCAUAGACGUUGUAAUGGUUUUAAUGGGAAUUGUAUUGCGUUUUAAUGGAAACUGUAAUGGUCCCUGCGGAUCUCUACUGGUAACUUGUUGCUUUCUACUGGCAGCAUGUUAUGCCUAGUGGAUACCAUUAAGGACCAGUAAUGAUUUUAAUGGUUGGCUGAUUGUUUGUAAUGGUGCUUGUAGUGGAAACCAUUAGAAUUUCUGUGAUGGUUUCUAUUUUUGGGGGGGUUUUUCAGCAGGGAUGUUGUACACACCUCCUGCUAUCUACGCUGAGCUAAAACACUGCUAGGCACUUUCCUUUCCUCUUCAUCUGCGCAGAAAUAUAUUUAACAUCAUAAGUUUUGCCCCUGAAUAAAUUAUGACAAGCAAGUCAUCAUUUUAGAGCAGAAAUUACCCAGAACUGUGGCAACUAAAUUAUUAUGCAGAAUGUUGUGAGCGUGUAUUGUUUGCAACUGACAUCUAAAUUAGACCUCUUAAGUUUUCCUAAUCCGGCGUCUUUUAUUUUUAAUCUUGUCGAAAUGCCUGACGUUUUUCACGUGAACACGGUUAUACGACGUGAGCCGUUCUUUGAGAUGGUUAAAUCGUAUGUCAGCGGGUGAAUAGCUAGCGGUAGUUGUAGCUGGAGUGAGUAAACGGUGCUAUGGAGCUAGACGUUACACUAUACCUCACUAGAUUACCCACAAUCCUCUAUUCCUACUGCUUAUAGUUGCUCUCCCCCCCCAGCCCCCCCCCCUCAGUGAAUGCAGGACUGUGUGAUGUCUCAACAUAAACGCAUGCAUACACACAAUCUCGCAAUCCAGCCAGAGCCUUUAUUCUUUAUACAGGAUGUGAACGAAGCUAAUGUUGUAGAUCGCUAGCAUGUAGCCGUUAAGGCAUAUAUCAGGCCAGCGUGAUCAUGCCAACGAGACAAACCAAUUGGGAACGUCGACAUUUUCCUCAGAUGUGUUGAUUAAAUUACUAAAAAAGGAUCCUUACGGCUAAUAUUUCUCUGUAACUAUAUUUAGUUAUAGGGGGGAUAUAUUCAACGAUGUAUCACAAAUUGUGUAAAGUGGAUGCGACCAUUUUUAAGUACUAAAUACUACAAUAGUGAGUAAACACAGCAAACUACAUCUAAAGGUAGCAAAUAUCUCGAGGUGAUGGUCACGAGGUCUUUGGCGAAGCCUUCGUUCAGACUGAACAAACUGAAACGGAUGAAAUGAAACAAAUGGCUGAAGCUAAUUUUGCCUUCUUUAAAUGUUGUCGUGCUAGCUAGCAACAUUAGCUUUCGUUCAUUCUUAAGGCACCCAGCUAGCAAUGAAUGUCUUGACAGUUAGCAGGUGCAUCAUGAUCAUCGGUAGCAUCGGCAUUUUGGUCAUAAGAGCUCAGCAAACCUGAUUGUGUCCCCGUGUUACUGAAUGUAGCGAGCAAAGCCAGUUCUCUUCACUGCCACCAGCAGAAAUGUUUGACCAUGUCCUGUUACCAUAGCCAUUACUCGUUUGCAUAGCAACAAGGAGAUCAAUGUCUUAAGGAAAAGACUGGAAGUAAAAUAAACUGGAAGUUCAGAGAGGCUGUGAAUUUUGGUUAUUCCUUGAACCCCCCCAAAAAAAAAAAAAAAAACCACAACAGACAAACAAACAGAAAAAUCAAUGUCACAAUUUCAGUUUUCUUAUUUGUUUUGGACAUUUUUUAUGACGGUAAAGUAAUACUUUGCACGUUUCUGGUUGGUCGGAACUGCUCCACAUUGUCAAUAUUAUCAAGCAAUACUGCUGUACUUGUGUAAUGUUGUACCAUUUUUCCCAUUAUAUAUGACAGGCUCACGAUGUAGUUAGCUAGCUAGUUGUCAAGUCAUAUAUCUGGACAAUGUGAAGAAGGGGUGGAUGGUUAAAACAAGAUGAAUCAACUGAGAAUAUAAGAUUUCCUUAGAUGGGUUGAUGAAUUAUUAAGUUAAAGCUCUGUACAGCUAGAUUUAUCAGUUUCUGCCAAAUUCAAAAAAUGGGUGGUGUCUGCAGUGGUCACCAACCCUCUUCCAAAAGAUCUACCUUCCUGCAGGUUUAGCUGGCAAUGAUUAGAUGGUCAGGUGGGCACCGUUAUGGCUGGAGCUAAAGUCUUCAGGAAGGUAGAUCUCCAGGAACAGGGUUGGUGACCACUGCUUGAGAGGAUUGAGAAAAAAGCUAAUGGCUGGCCUGGUCUUCGAAAGGAAAUGUAGCAUGGUGAAAUGAAUUCAUCAAAACCUCUACGCGUGUGAGUCAGUCGUAUAGCUUGUAUAAUACAGGAUAGUAUCAUCAUCAUCAUCAUCAUCAUCAUCAUCAUCAUACAUCUGGGUUAAGUUUCCUAAAAGCAUCCCAGUGUUAAAAUCAGAGAAUGUGAUCCUUCAGCUGACAUUUAUACAGUAUGUUGUGGCUUUAAUGUGUUUAGAAAACAAUGUCUAUUAGUUUGUUUGUUUUUUAACUUUGUAUAGAAAAAUCUACACAAAACUGUAGCAAAUCUGUGACCGUCCAUGUGUUCACUAGAUUUCAUUGAAAAGGUAAACUGUACCGGUCAAAUUACUGACUGUAUCCCAUGAGUAGACCUGAUGAUAAAGUGGCAAUGCGGUGCGUAUCAUCUGUAUGCUGUAUAUAGCUACGACUUGUUGGUUGUUGGUGAUGAAACUUUGUUUUAAAAGCUGUAAUGGGAAGGCCUUCUUCACACACAGCACGUCUUCAUACGCCAAACAGCACGUCUCGGACGUCCACGUGAGCCAUGUACUGAUAAUCAACUACACAAUAUUUUAUGAUGUUCGUCACUCACUGUAUUGUCAGGCUCGAGGCUUUAAGGAAAUUUGUCUUUAAAAAAUUCAAAAAGAAAAAUGACUAGAGAAAAGUAGAG
ensembl:lncRNA